rnacentral:snRNA from 1 species
AUCGCUUCUCGGCCUUUUGGCUAAGAUCAAGUGUAGAAAACCCAAAUGCUAAUCAAAUAUGUGCAGGAAAAAAAUCUAGGAAACAUGUUGGAUGUUGCUUUCCUGUGACUUUACAAUCCAUCUUCUAGUUAUAUUUGGAAACUUACC